rnacentral:lncRNA from 1 species
UUCAAAUUUGAUCUGAUCCGUACCCACCACAUACAUUUAUUUUUUUCUCCACAACUUAUUUUCCAAAUUAGUCACACCGCGAAACUAUCGAUGAGUCGGAGUCCCAAAACUGAAGUAGAUUACCAAUUUCGAGGCAUAUCUAACAAAUCUCCACAUUGAUAAAAAAAAUUUCUUUAAAUGAAACAGCAACUAUAACUCUCCACUUUCUCCACAAGCCAAUUAAUACUAAUCAAGUCCAAGCAAU